AUUGAACGCUGGCGGCAGGCUUAACACAUGCAAGUCGGGCGGGGGAAGGUAGCUUGCUACCGGACCUAGCGGCGGACGGGUGAGUAAUGCUUAGGAAUCUGCCUAUUAGUGGGGGACAACAUCUCGAAAGGGAUGCUAAUACCGCAUACGUCCUGCGGGAGAAAGCAGGGGAUCUUCGGACCUUGCGCUAAUAGAUGAGCCUAAGUCGGAUUAGCUAGUUGGUGGGGUAAGGGCCUACCAAGGCGACGAUCUGUAGCGGGUCUGAGAGGAUGAUCCGCCACACUGGGACUGAGACACGGCCCAGACUCCUACGGGAGGCAGCAGGGGGGAAUAUUGGACAAUGGGGAGAACCCUGAUCCAGCCAUGCCGCGUGUGUGAAGAAGGCCUUAUGGUUGUAAAGCACUUUAAGCGAGGAGGAGGCUACUCUAGUUAAUACCUAGGGAUAGUGGACGUUACUCGCAGAAUAAGCACCGGCUAACUCUGUGCCAGCAGCCGCGGUAA
rnacentral:rRNA from 1 species